GUGGGGAAUCUUGCGCAAUGGGCGAAAGCCUGACGCAGCCAUGCCGCGUGAAUGAUGAUGGUCUUAGGAUUGUAAAAUUCUUUCACCGGGGACGAUAAUGACGGUACCCGGAGAAGAAGCUCCGGCUAACUUCGUGCCAGCAGCCGCGGGAAUACGAAGGGGGCUAGCGUUGCUCGGAAUUACUGGGCGUAAAGGGCGCGUAGGCGGACAGCUUAGUCAGAGGUGAAAGACAAGGGCUCAACCUUGGAAUUGCCUUUGAUACUGGCUGUCUUGAGUUUGGGAGAGGUUAGUGGAACUCCGAGUGUAGAGGUGAAAUUCGUAGAUAUUCGGAAGAACACCAGUGGCGAAGGCGACUCACUGGCCCAAUACUGACGCUGAGGCGCGAAAGCGUGGGGAGCAAACAGGAUUAGAUACCCCGGUAGUCC
rnacentral:rRNA from 1 species